AAAAAUUUUUCCAGGGAAACAAAGACAAAACUGAAUCUUACAUCUUGUACAUGAAUUAUCUGGACAUCGUCAAUAAAUUAAUUGCAGAAGGCAUAACAAAGAGAGGGCAACCUAUAGACAUGAAAAACAUAAAACAGAGUGAGAAAAUGUGAAGAAAAACCAUGGAAAACUCAGAAAUUACAAUAAAUUGAGAAAAACUCUUGUCCAGCGGAGCAAAUAAACGGGGCACAACUAUACUAAUGGGGCCGUUGUGUACUAAAAAAAAGGUGAAACCUGAAAUUGAAUUUCCAGUCAAAAUAACCGUCAUUCAUUGACAAGUCCAGCAUAAACAUUGCUCAAUCCAUCAACGUCACUUCGAUUAUUCACAACACGGGGCAGAUUCCUCUUGAUGAACAACAUCUCCAGCAUCAUCCUCUUCGAAUAAACACGGUACGAGGCAAAUAUUCACAUCCGUGGACUUGGCGAUUCUUUUCUUCAUUUUCUCUGAGACUCCCGGAAUGUGUACCAGCGACCGGAACGGACCUGGGUCCACCUCCACAGCCGGAACACGAUCUCCCGAGGGGCGCUGUCGAUCAUGCUCACUCAGCAGCUUCCUAAUGAUUUUCGGAGGAAAAUCAUUCUUCUUGAGCAAGGCGUUCAACUUUGAGUUCACAUCCGCAUCCACCUUAGAAAGUGAACUGCAGCUUCGGGUGGAAACUAUUCACUCUCACCAGCAUGUCCUCAAUGUCAUCCUCGUGGACGAAUACCAGCAGAUCAUCAACGUAUUUCUUCACGCAUUCAAUUCUCAGACGGGAGUUUCCAAGCGUCUCAUCAAGGAGCCUCUGAGAGUUUUUCUCAAUUUAUUGUAAUUUCUGAGUUUUCCAUGGUUUUUCUUCACAUUUUCUCACUCUGUUUUAUGUUUUUCAUGUCUAUAGGUUGCCCUCUCUUUGUUAUGCCUUCUGCAAUUAAUUUAUUGACGAUGUCCAGAUAAUUCAUGUACAAGAUGUAAGAUUCAGUUUUGUCUUUGUUUCCCUGGAAAAAUUUUUCUCUGCCAAUGUAUAAUUGAUUGUUAAUAAAUUCCCUUUCCUCACAGCCACUGAGGAAGGCACUGAUUUGUGCCGAAAGCUCUGGCAGAAUUGUGCCUUUAAUUCUGGACUGAGUUCCGAUUUUCCGACGCUGACCGGGGGAAAAGUUAAAAUUUUCCAAAAAUCACAAUUCACCUUUACGUCGGCUUCUAAUACAAUUCGAAAUUAAAUACAGUCAAAUAGUAGGGCGUAGGUUUUAGAAAGUUGAAGAAUGCAUAAUAAUUUUUGAAAAUUGUAUUUAUAUCUCACAAUCAGUCAAGUAGGUAUAUUUUAUUAUGAUUGAGCUGAUACUCUCCUGAAGUAUUGCUGACUAAAUGAAUAAAAGUGAAUGUUCGAUCAGGAAAAGAUGUAUGUGAGUACCGCAUACCAAACAUAUUGACCCUGCAGUACCUACAGACUUUUAAGAACCAAGUUCUUCAGGGGCGUAGCCAAAAAUCUGUUUAAAAGGUAUUCUCAGAUUUUUUUCUUUAAAAUUUUAAAGACGUUUAACGUAGAUUAAAGCUCAACUUGACGUUUGAUAUUUCUCAUCUAACAUUUGAUGAAAAUUUUUAGUGUUUGAAAAUUCCCUUUCUUAAAUUUUCCUAAUGUAAUUUUUAACAUGAAAAUGAUUUCAUUUGUCCUCUAAUGAAUAGUCUGAAUUUUCCUGAAUUUUUAAGGGAUGUUUUAAUAUUAAAAAAAUUUUCCUGGUUACAUCCCUGCAAUUAUUCAAAAGAAAACUAAAUUAUAAUUAUGUAUUACAUAUCACUUUUUAUACACAUCUGGAAAUAAUAAUUUUGUGGCUGUAAAUUAUUUACUCGAUUUAACUCAUUUCGUUAACUUCUUAUUAAAAUUCGAAAAAGGCAAAGAUUGUUAAACGAAGUUUUUCUUCGAUGAUACAAUGAUCUUCAACAAGGAAAAGAAUUCUUUAUUUUAUUUAUUUUUUAAUCUGCAAAAUGUAAUGUUUGCAUGUAAAAUUCCCGAUGAUACUGUCAAGUGUUUAUAUUGUAUUUGACUCUUCUUUGUGUUGCCGUUGAAAGCUUCACAGAUAAAUAUGGUAACUAAUCACCUGCAGCGGAAAAUCAUGAAUAAAAGAUGAAUCCAAUCACAUUAAAUACAAUUGCAGUUCAACGACAAUACUCUAUCCAGUUCUAUGAUUGUACGUGAGAGUGUUUUAGCAAAAACUACUAAACGAGUGAUUAACUAUUAUAUAAAUUUAACAAUUAAUUCCGCGUUAUUGCAUGCAAUCAACGUAUUGCAUUUUCCUACGAUUUUUUUUUGAAAAGAUCUUUUACAAGUUCUAAUGAAAAUUCUUGAUAUGCUACAUUUGAAGAAAAAACUAACUAAUUGUAGAAAAAUUGAGAUUUAAAUCUUAACGAAGAUCAGUGAAAUAAAUUAAAAACAUUAUUCGAAGAAUGCGGUUAAAUGAAGCGACGAGCACAGCAAGUCUCCGUGAGAUUCCCAUCAAAUGUGUGACUGAUAUAAAAGCAAAAUGUUUUCCCGCUUGACUGACUCACUUUUAUACAAAAAAAAAACUCAUUGAAUUUUCC